rnacentral:rRNA from 1 species
UACAGAGGGUGCAAGCGUUAUCCGGAAUUAUUGGGCGUAAAGAGCUCGUAGGCGGUUUGUCGCGUCUGCUGUGAAAACCCGAGGCUCAACCUCGGGCCUGCAGUGGGUACGGCGAGACUAGAGUGAUGUAGGGGAGACUGGAAUUCCUGGUGUAGCGGUGAAAUGCGCAGAUAUCAGGAGGAACACCGAUGGCGAAGGCAGGUCUCUGGGCAUUAACUGACGCUGAGGAGCGAAAGCAUGGGGGAGCGAACAGG